UAAUACAGAGGGUGCAAGCGUUGUUCGGAAUUAUUGGGCGUAAAGGGCGCGUAGGCGGUGCGGUAAGUCUGCAGUGAAAUCUCUGGGCUCAACUCAGAGUCUGCUGUAGAAACUGCCGUGCUUGAGUGUGGGAGAGGUGAGUGGAAUUCCCGGUGUAGCGGUGAAAUGCGUAGUUAUCGGGAGGAACACCUGUGGCGAAAGCGGCUCACUGGACCACAACUGACGCUGAGGCGCGAAAGCCAGGGGAGCAAACAGGA
rnacentral:rRNA from 1 species